rnacentral:rRNA from 1 species
CGCUGGCGGCGUGCCAAUACAUGCAAGUCGAACGGUCUUUCUAUGGAAGCUUGCUUCCACUGAAAGAUAGUGGCGAACGGGUGAGUAACACGUGGGUAACCUGCCCAUAAGAGGGGGAUAACAUCCGGAAACGGGUGCUAAUACCGCAUAGUUUUCUUGAUCGCAUGAUCGGGAAAGGAAAGACGGCCUUUGUGCUGUCGCUUAUGGAUGGACCCGCGGCGUAUUAGUUAGUUGGUGAGGUAACGGCUCACCAAGACGAUGAUACGUAGCCGACCUGAGAGGGUGAUCGGCCACAUUGGGACUGAGACACGGCCCAAACUCCUACGGGAGGCAGCAGUAGGGAAUCUUCCGCAAUGGACGAAAGUCUGACGGAGCAACGCCGCGUGAGUGAAAGAAGGUUUUCGGAUCGUAAAACUCUGUUGUCAGAGAAGAACAAGUUGGAGAGUAACUGCUCCAGCCUUGACGGUAUCUGACCAGAAAGCCACGGCUAACUACGUGCCAGCCGCCGC